rnacentral:rRNA from 1 species
AUAAAACAAAACUUUCAACAACGGAUCUCUUGGUUCUGGCAACGAUGAAGAACGCAGCGAAAUGAGGAUAAGUAACGUGAAUUGCAGAAUUCAGUGAAUCAUCGAAUCUUUGAACGCACAUUGCGCCCCCUGGUAUUCCGGGGGGCACACCUGUUCA